rnacentral:tRNA from 1 species
AUAGAUGUAGCCUAAUGGGUAAGGCACUACAUUUGGGAUGUAGAAAAUGUAGGUUCGAGUCCUAUCAUCUAUA